rnacentral:tRNA from 1 species
GGAUAUAGCGCAGUCUGGUAGCGCGCCUGCUUUGGGAGCAGGAUGUCGGGGGUUCGAAUCCCUCUAUCC